UUGGGCCGAGCAGGUCACCCAGCAGGUCACCCGGCCCCUCCCCGGUUCCCAACAAGUGGGGGCCCCAGCCCUGACCCCGGGGAUGGUCUGAGGGUUGUUCCCUUCCCGUGUGAUGCCAGGGGCUGGGCCUGCACCUCCCUGUCCUGGGUCCGCAUGGAGUCCAUUCGCCAGUGGGACCCUGGGCUGUCCUGUCUCUGGGUGACUGUGGGCCUCUGGGGGUCCUUGGCUCCACCUGCCAGGUCCCCAACUAGAGUCAGGGCCUUCGGGCCAGGCCUGGCCCCACAGUCAGCGUUUCCUGGGAGAGGGCUGGCGGCUGAGCAGGGGGCUUCUAGGGCCUUGAGGGUACAGAUGGCAUCUGAGGGCGCCUGGCCCUCCCCACACAGGGAUCUGGAUCCCGAGGAGCUGUGGUCUGCCCUUCCCGAGACCCCAGCAGGGCUGGAGGGCCGUCGGGCACCUCUGGGGAUAGACGCCUGGGCAUGUCCACUUCCUCUCAGAGCCCAGCCUGGUCAGUGGAGGGACAACAGGAAAUGGCCCGCUUCUGACCUGCCAGGGGCCGGAUCCGCCCAGCGGGACCAGAGAGCCUCCCUGGGAGGUAAUGAGCGUCAGGUGGGAGGUUGGUGUCUUAAGGGACACACCCCUACAGGCAGGAUUUCCUGGGGCCCUGGCCUUACUGGGGGAGGUGCCUUACUGGGGGAGGUGGGCAGCGAGAUAGCCCCGCCGGACAUGCUUGGCCUCGCCAGUUGAAGCCCAGCCUGCCGCAUGCUCUGACUCAAGGCUCUUCCCCUCAGGAAAUGCACGCACAUGGGCCCUGAGAGAUGUGUACAAACAAAUUCGUGACAGCGCCACGCGCCAGCCAAAAGUGAGAGACAGCCCAACUGUCCCUCCCUAGGAAAUGGGUAAAUAAACCACGGUGUGUGUAGACAAACAGCACUCAGCAAGGAAAACAGAGGCUCUCUCGUGAUGUCGACACAUGAUGAACGUCAGACUUAACCUGCAGAAGAGGCUGCGUCUCAGGAGAAGCCGAGAGGCAAGGUGCCACCAGCUCGAAUCUGGAAAGCAGGCAGGCAGCCCUGGGAACAAAGAGGUGGGGGAAUGAAAGGAAAAGGGGGCCGGGGGCUGAACAGGCUGGUUCUGGGGAGAUGAGGAUAUGGGGCUGGGUCCAGAUGAUGGCAAAGUCUUUCCUCUCAAUCCAGGUAGUGGGCGGGGAAUGCCGAUUUCACUUUCAUUGUCUCUAAAAUAAACUAUCCCCAUGUUAUAACCUCCCUCUGUCUGACACCUGGGAUAACACAUACAGAAUGGCUUCCCAGGGGCCACCACGGCCUUUGCACACAUUAUCCCCACUUAAUCCUCUCCAUCCAUAUGGAACCACCUUCCCUGUUGCCCCCAUGAAAGAUGGUCCCUUGGGUGGCCGCUGGGGGACCCGGCUCAGGGUCAGUGACGACUUUUCCCUACACCCCUGUUGCACCUGUGUGGAGCCAAGUGGUCAAGGUCAGGCCAGUGGAACGUGGGGCCCAUAAACCCUCCACCCCCCCCCCCCCCCCCCCCCCCCCCACAUUCCCUUCCUGUGCUGACUGGGUGUGGACACUGAGGCCCAGAAACCACCUGGGGAAGAGCCUGUGUCAGAGCUUCUGUGAACCUGAGUCCCUGCUCAGCUACCUGGCCCAGAAAACCAGGCCCCCCGCCCCCAUGGUCAUUAGAAGUUACUGAAUAAGAAUAGGAAGUGAACUCUCAUUGUCUUGAGCCACUGAGAUCUGGCCUUCACGUGUGACAGCCGGGUCAGCAGACUCUGGCCCAGGAGCUGCGUCUGUUUCCUGCUUCUCCAUGUAAGGCUGGGGUGGUUUCUGCUGUGCCGAAGCUGGGCUGGCCUCCCGUCUCCACACACCUCCUGGUUCUGGGGUUGACUUCUUAGUUCAUGGUCCUGUGGGCCAGACAACUCACCCAGGGGUAAUAACCAUGGGCUUGUAAAGUCAUAGGAUUCUGCGGGCUGGGCGGGACCACAGAGAGUCCUUGCUCCAUCGCCUUGUUGGACGCAGGGAAAGACUGGCCCAGGGUGAGCAGGUGGGCCAGUCUCAAAGCAACUUCAUGAUGGGAGGUCUGGAAGCUGAGCCCUGGCGUCCCCUGGAGGCCCGGCCACCUCUCUCCACUCUGGGUCUGAGGCGCUGUUCCCUGCCCUGGAUCCAGGAGGUUAGCUGGAGGGUGGGAGGCCUCCAGAUUGGUUUGCAGGUCAAGCACGUCUAGGGCCCCCACCUGCUUUGCUGGGGCUCUUUGUUCUCCGUGUCAGGUGGUGUGGAGCAAAAGCCCAGGUCAGAGGAAGCCAUGUCCACUGACCAUCUGCUAUUUUACCCUGUCUGUUCUUUCCUCUGCUGGGAGGGUGAAGGGCAGGCCUGAAUGCAGGCAUCCCUGGAUGCUCCAGUGAAAGCCGCCCCACAACGAGCCUGCUCUCUGUGGCCCUGAGCUCGCCAAGCCCUCUUCCCAUUUUCUGUUGGAGAUGCUGAUGGGAUUCCCCUCGCUUUGUUGAUGCGAGGAUGUCUCCACAAACUUCCUGGUCUGUCUCGCUAUCUUCCCUGGUAAAGACUGCUAAUGAUGAGUGAAAGCCUCUUCUGAUACUGACUUCUUGACAAACUUAACCUCUGGGAAAAUGACCCAGCCUCAGCUUUCCGUCUGGUGGCCAGGGCGGUCCAUCCCUGCACGCCUGGACGCAGGAGUCUGUUUUCCUCAUUUUGUUG
rnacentral:lncRNA from 1 species